CUUCUUCCCAACAACUCUGGAGGACUGCAUCUCUGCCCCUUAGGAUCCAACCCCCCUGCAAAUGACAAAAUCAACAUAUCAAAUCACGAGCAGACGAACUGGUAAAUCCGUGCGAGAAGGAGAGGGGGGAUGGGGAAAGUGGUGAGGGCACUCAGUGGUGGCUUCGCAUGGCGGAUUGGAAGCUGCUCACCUCAUGUCGUCUUCUUCCCGGAGGUGCAGUAACUCGAGGACCAUGGUCCGCCACUCCUUCAGCCGACGGCGACGCCACCAGGCAGAUCCGCUGCUCCUCCCGGUGAUGAACACGUGAUAGAGGAGGAGUAGCGGGGGAGGGGGAGGUGCGCUCCUGCCAAUGGGUGGUGGUGGAGGCGGCCAGAGUUGACCUCUCGACGGCGGCUGGCCGGAGUUGCGGGAGAGGGGGUCGUGGGCGGCGGGGCGGGAGGAGCAGCGGAUCCGGCGCACGGAUCUAGCGACCGCUGCGUGGCGCCCAUCUCCCCGACGCGGUUGACCCGCAGCACCCACGCCUCGGGUAGGUGCCAACAAUGGCGUGGCGGCGAUGGACGGGGAGGAUGGCUGGCGGCGUUCCUCCUUCCCUGCUGUGGGAGCUGGGGCCAGGGCGGGGCGUUAGGGUUUGGCGGCGCCAGAUCGGAGGAGUGGAAG
rnacentral:lncRNA from 1 species